rnacentral:rRNA from 1 species
GGUAACCUGCCCUAUACACAUGGAUAACAUGCUGAAAAGCAUACUAAUACAUGAUAACGUACACUGAUGGCAUCUUCGGUGUAUCAAAGCGUUAGCGGUAUAGGAUGGACCCGCGUCUGAUUAGCUAGUUGGUGGGGUAAAAGCCUACCAAGGCCACGAUCAGUAGCCGACCUGAGAGGGUGAUCGGCCACAUUGGAACUGAGACACGGUCCAAACUCCUACGGGAGGCAGCAGUGGGGAAUAUUGGGCAAUGGACGCAAGUCUGACCCAGCAACGCCGCGUGAACGAUGAAGGUCUUCGGAUCGUAAAGUUCUGUCGCAGGGGAAGAUAAUGACGGUACCCUGUGAGGAAGCACCGGCUAACUAC